rnacentral:rRNA from 1 species
CCUACGGGAGGCAGCAGUGGGGAAUAUUGCACAAUGGGGGAACCCCUGAUGCAGCACCGCCGCGAGAGUGAGGAAGUAUUUCGGUAUGUAAAGCUCUAUCAGCAGGGACUCGAAAAGACGGUACCUGAAAAAGAAGCCCCGGCUACCUACGUGCCAGCCGCCGCGGUCAUACGUAGGGGGCAAGCGUUACCCGGAUUUACUGGGUGUAAUGGGAGCGUAGACGGAAAGGCAAGUCAGAAGUGAAAACCCAAGGCUCAACCAUGGGACUGCUUUUGACCCUGUCAAACUAGAGUACGGGAGAGGUAAGAGGAAUUCCUAGUGUAGCGGUGAAAUGCGUAGAUAUUAGGAGGAACACCAGUGGCGAAGGCGUCUUACUGGACCGAAACUGACGUUGAGGCUCGAAAGCGUGGGGAGCAAACAGGAUUAGAUACCCCUGUAGUC